UACGAAGGGGGCUAGCGUUGUUCGGAAUUACUGGGCGUAAAGCGCACGUAGGCGGAUAUUUAAGUCAGGGGUGAAAUCCCGGGGCUCAACCCCGGAACUGCCUUUGAUACUGGGUAUCUCGAGUCCGAGAGAGGUGAGUGGAAUUCCGAGUGUAGAGGUGAAAUUCGUAGAUAUUCGGAGGAACACCAGUGGCGAAGGCGACUCACUGGCUCGGUACUGACGCUGAGGUGCGAAAGCGUGGGGAGCAAACAGG
rnacentral:rRNA from 1 species